CGACGAUACAGAAAUCGCAACAUACAGUAUCUUUCCUCAAGAAAAUUCUGCUCCUAACUACCAGAAGCAUAACCAGCCUCAGGAGGAUACUAAGUACAUGAUGAUAGAAAAUGUUUGUUAUUCUUGCUCUACAUGCCAGGUAAAGCCUAGAGGCUUGAACUUAAGCAAAAAUACAACUCUGAUCAUUAUGGGCCAAAACACAGUUUAAAUCCCAUACUUAGAUGUCCUCGGGGCCAUUGAUAACGUUGUUCUCGAGUACUGCCCCAUCAGGAAUGUCGAUCCUCACCCCAGAUUUUGCAGUGAUGGUGACAUUGCCCUUGAGGACUACACCUGCACCAAACCAUACAUCACCAGAAACCUUUAAGCUGUCGAGCUCUACAAUGCUAGGUAUUGACUUGAAACGGUUGAGGAAGUUGCCAACCUUUUUGAACUCUGGUCCUAGUUCAAUCGAAGGGUUUGCGGGAUUUGUUCUUGCUGUGUUACGGGUUACAAAGCCAUCAACCAAGGUAUAUAGAUCAGACUGGACUAGCAGCAAAUCGGAUGUUGCCUUCACUGGGAGAAACCGAGAUCGGGGAACAUUAAUCCCAAUAGCAUGAUCGAAAAAUCGUAUGGCUGCCCCAGCUGCUGUUUCCAAUUGAAGAACUUUCACGCCAUCAACUUCCUUAGGGUUCGGAAUAAUCUCCAUCUUAAGUGCAUCGGCCUCCACAAGCUGCUUAAUGGCCUUUAAGUUUACCCAUAGGUUGUUGGUAUUAAAGAUCUUGAAUUUCUCGAUGGAUUUGAAUUCAUUCACAUGUGCAUCCGGAACUUGUGCAAUUUCCAACAGCUGGACUCUGCCUUCAUAAGAGAUAAGAGUACCACCCUUGACAUCAGCCAAAGUUUUUGGAGUUACCUCCAUGCAAUAUCCAUUCUGGUUGUGGAUCAAAUGAUUCAGAAUUUUUAUGUCAACAAUAGCACCCAAGUUAUCUGAGUUGGCAAUAAAGAUAUAUUCCUUGCCCUGUGAGAGUAAUGCAUCAAGCUUGCCGCUGUUCUUCAAGGAAGGGAAAACAUCACCAUGGCCUGGAGGAUACCAUCCUUCUUUUCCUGCCUGAACUUUGGAUGGCAGUGGCAAAAAGUCAUCAACAACUAAACGAGGAUAUUGGCUCUGGUUAAAUGUAUGGAUAUCAAUGUUUGAGUUGGAAUAUUUCUCCACAAUCUUCAGUGUAUCAUCAUGGGUGUUGAAUGAGUUCAUUAGAAGUAGAGGUACAUUGCACCCAUACUUUUUGUUGAGAGACUCUAUUUGGAUGACAAUCAAGUCCAGAAAUGUAAAUCCAUUUCGCACCUCAAUAACAGACUUGGGACCAGUACACCCCAUCGUCGUCCCCAGACCGCCAUUGAGCUUCAGCACCGCAAGCUUGUUAAGAAGCUUCUUCGUCUCCUCAAGAUCUUCCGGAGGCGGCGCUAAGGUGUCGUACGGCACAACAAUCUCAUCCGUCGGUGUCUUGAUCUUGCUCCACUCAAUCUGCUCCUCGUCCCCACUCAGGUAACGGGAGACGAGGUUGAUGAAGCCAGAUUUCUCGUUUUCGCUGAUCUCGCUGAGGCUGGCGACGGCGGAGCUGAGCUUCGAGAUCUUAUCGGUCGCGGCGGGGGCGACAGCGACGGCAGCCAUUGGAGAGCGGAGGCCGAGCUGAGGGGAGUGAGAAAAUGAGAACCGAACGUUCGGGAAAGGCCGGGAAUGGAGG
rnacentral:misc_RNA from 1 species